rnacentral:rRNA from 1 species
GACGAACGCUGGCGGCGUGCUUAACACAUGCAAGUCGUACGGUAAGGCCCUUUCGGGGGUACACGAGUGGCGAACGGGUGAGUAACACGUGAGUAACCUGCCCACAACUUUGGGAUAACGCUAGGAAACUGGUGCUAAUACUGGAUAUGUGCUCCUGCUGCAUGGUGGGGGUUGGAAAGCUCCGGCGGUUGUGGAUGGACUCGCGGCCUAUCAGCUUGUUGGUGGGGUAGUGGCCUACCAAGGCGGCGACGGGUAGCCGGCCUGAGAGGGUGACCGGCCACAUUGGGACUGAGAUACGGCCCAGACUCCUACGGGAGGCAGCAGGGGGGAAGAUUGCACAAUGGGCGCAAGCCUGAUGCAGAAACGCCGCGUGCGGGAUGACGGCCUUCGGGUUGUAAACCGCUUUCAGCAGGGACGAAGCUUUUUGUGACGGUACCUGCAGAAGAAGCACCGGCUAACUACGUG